AGGAUGAACGCUGGCGGCGUGCCUAAGUACAUGCAAGUCGAGCGGUAAGGCCUCUUCGGAGGUACACGAGCGGCGGACGGCUGAGUAACACGUAGGAACGUACCCCAAAGUGAGGGAUAAGCACCAGAAAUGGUGUCUAAUACCGCAUGUGCUCUAAGGAGUAAAGCUUCGGCGCUUUGGGAACGGCCUGCGCAUGAUUAGCUUGUUGGUGAGGUAAAAGCUCACCAAGGCGACGAUCAUUAGCUGGUCUGAGAGGAUGAUCAGCCAGACUGGGACUGAGAACGGCCCAGACUCCACGGAGGCAGCAGUAGGGAAUUUUCCACAAUGGGCG
rnacentral:rRNA from 1 species